AGCCGGGGCCCACAUGCAAUCAGCUGGGAACUCAUUCAAAAUGACUUUUCAUCUUCUAGGGCCUCUCCUCCCUGUGGCUUUUUAUCAUUCAAACGUCUGCAUAGUGACUUGAGAAAGGACAAGCCCCAGUGAACAAAUGCUUAUCAAACCUCUGUUUUUGUAGACACGGAAUCUUGCCAGGUUGCCAAGCUGGUCCUGAACUCCUGACCUCAAGUGAUCCUCCCGCCUCAGUCUCUCAAAGUGCUGGGAUUACAGGCAUGAGCCACUGUGCCCUGCCCUGUUUCUUUACAGUUGUCUUUGCCCCUUUGUACUUAAUGCCUGUACAUUUUUGAGAGGGAGUUUUGCUCUUAUUGUCCAGGCUGGAGUGCAGUGGCAUGAUCUCGGCUCACUGCAACCUCUGCCUUCCGGGUUCAAGUGAUUCUCCUCCCUUAGCCUCCCCAGUAGCUGGGAUUACAGGCCCCUACCACCACACCCGGCUGAUUUUUUGUAUUUUUAGUAGAGAUGGGGUUUCACCAUGUUGGGCAUGGCUGGUCUCGAACUCCUGACCUUAGGUGAUCCACCUGCCUCAGCCUCCCAAAGUGCUGGGAUUAUAGAUUGAGCCACCUCUCCUGGCUAAAUAGUCUUAUUUUAAACUACUAAGUGUUGAGAUAAUCUGUUACACAACAAUAGAUAACUAAUAGAGACACCAAAACAAGAGCUACUUCAAAAUACUAGACUCAGGGAGACCACUUUU
rnacentral:lncRNA from 1 species